GGUGCCUCCACCCAUCCUCUUGAUCUCAUCAAGGUUCGCAUGCAACUUCAAGGUGAAUCCCACCUCCCCAAUCCAGCUUCCCUUCAAGCCCUCCGUCCUGCAAUCGCCUUCAACACGGUUGCUGCAGGUGCCGGCAAUAUUUCACUACCUGUAGAAAUUGCUCCUCCACCUGCUCGUGUUGGACCCAUUUCUAUUGGUGUUCGUAUCAUUCAAUCUGAAGGUGCUGCAGCCCUUUUCACUGGUGUAUCUGCCACUAUACUUCGCCAGACCUUGUACUCAACCACCCGUAUGGGUCUUUACGAUGUUCUCAAACACAAGUGGACAGAUCAAGACACCGGAAGCAUGCCUCUUCCACGCAAGAUUCUUGCCGGCCUUAUCUCCGGCGGUAUCGGAGCCGCCGUUGGGAACCCCGCUGACGUGGCUAUGGUCCGAAUGCAGGCUGAUGGACGUCUCCCAAUUGACCAACGUCGCAACUACAAGAGUGUGUUUGAUGCUCUAACUCAAAUGUCAAAGCAAGAAGGAAUUGCUAGCCUCUGGCGUGGCUCAAGUCUUACAGUGAACCGUGCAAUGAUCGUCACUGCAUCACAGCUCGCAACCUAUGAUCAGAUCAAGGAGAUGAUAUUGGAGAAGGGUGUGAUGAGUGAUGGAAUAGGGACCCAUGUGACGGCGAGCUUCGCAGCUGGGUUUGUGGCAUCGGUGGCUUCAAACCCUAUAGAUGUGAUAAAGACUAGGGUUAUGAACAUGAAGGUGGAGACAGGGGGGGAGCCGCCAUACAAGGGUGCAUUAGACUGUGCAAUGAAGACAGUGAAGGCGGAGGGUCCAAUGGCUUUGUAUAAGGGAUUUAUCCCUACAAUCUCAAGGCAAGGACCUUUCACUGUGGUGCUGUUUGUCACGCUAGAGCAGGUCAGGAAGCUGCUCAAAGAUUUCUAAUUCAAGUGAUGGUGAUCGAUGAGGGAAAUCAAAAUGCCAUAUAUAGAUAGAAAUAUGUGAAUUUUUCAGCUUCACUAUCGGGAGAAUUAUUCUUUAAUUCUUUUUGUUAGAAUUUGGAAAGGCCACUAUUAUUCCAUUACUGUAAAGAAGAAUUGAAUUUUUGAUAUAAAUUAAUUAUUACUUGAUCUCACAUUUCCAUUUGUCUAUCUUCAUAUAUAAUUGCAGAAUUCACCGCAAAUGUAAAAAAAUUCAAUUAAUCAAGGUGUUGUUCUCCUAAUGGCAUGGCUCACAGUCACAAAAUUAAAAAGAGAUUAAACCCAUCAAAAUACAUAAUCACAUCAAUAUAGAAUGCUUGUAUGAAUAUUGCUGGAGUUUUGACCUUCUUGAGUUUUGACAUCCUGCAGCUGCAUUAUAAGAGUAACAAUCACUUUUAUUUUUUUUGACAAUAACCUUACCAUAAAUUACAAGUAAAUAUUUUAUACUUCGUCCUUUUCUUUGAUACUGGUUUUUCUACGGCCACCCUUGUCUUUUCAAGAAGGGUUGACUUCUGUCACCUUGUUAUAUGUUUUUAAAUUUUUUUUAUUAUUAUUGUUUUACAUGUUGUGCUUCUUCAGUUUUUUCAUGCCUUAUUGUUGACAGAUUUAAGAGAGGAUUAACUUUUUGGGAAUGGUGAAACUCUUGGAGUCGUAUUCCGAACAUGAAUAAUGCAAUCAGUAACCCUCAAGGCCUUGGGUGCCAUAGAACUCUGGCUACUGCCCUUAGUUGGUUUGAAGCUUCGAUGCUUCUGGCCUUCAAUCAGUCUGUGCUUUAGUUUUAUUGGUUCUGGCUGUUGCCCUCAGUUGAUUUGAAGCUUCGACUUUGGUCUGGCCUUCAAUCAAUCUUUGCUUCAGUUUUAUUAGUUUUCUUGAUAAGACGCUCCAUGGCUCUUUCUACAAGUUGCAUUUGUUGUCGGGUCUCUCAACUUUUUAAGUUUUAAGGAUUUGAUGACCUUUUAGGUUUUAAGAAACCUUAUUUUAUUUUCUAUUAAAAACUACGGUUUUAAAUGAGUUGGAUUAAAAUUUUAAUUUUAAUUUUUUUCUUUAUAUUAUUAUAAAUGAUUAAAACGUAAAUACGAAUAUAAUUCAAUCAUUUGUAGUUAGAGAUUAGAAAAAAAUCUCCUCAGAUUCAAUAUGAAAACAUUUAGAGUACAUGUAUUACGCUCAAUUCAUAGAGAUUUAGAAAGCUGCUCUUAGAAUUUCAAGCUUUUACUUGAGCAGUAUAAAUUGAUAGUUUUUUAGGGACCAUUUUAAAAUUUCUAUCCAUAAAUUUUCUUUAAAAACAAAGUGACGUGCAAAGCGCACUAAUAUAUUUUAAAAUUUAAGCAAUGAUAUCUUUACGGUCAUAGUAAAAUUAUUAUUUUAAUAUUAUUAAGAUAACAGUUUGAUAAUAAUUUAAAAAUAUUUAAAAAAUUUAUUUUUUUAUUAUAUUUAAUAAUAAAUUUUAAUAAAAAAUUAUUUUAUAUUUAAUAAAAUCAUAAUUUUUACUAUAUUUUAUAUUUACAGUAAAAAAAUAUGUUUAAAGCUGAUUUAUAUUUAAUAGUGAUAUAUUUCAAAUUGUUGUUAUUAAUUUAUAAUUAUAUUUAAAAUAUACAAUAUUACUAUUUUAAAUUUAUUUUUAUAGUAGUGGUUUUUUUGCAUACUCCACCUUCCUCUACUAUUUAUAAAAAUUUAUAAAAAAUAAUAUAUAUUUAAAAAAAUAGAGUAAAAAAUUAAUGAAUCACUGUACAUGAUACAUUUAUAGAAAAUAUUUCUCUAAAACUGUUUCAUGUAGACUGAAUAUAAUAAUUACAGUGGAAUUUUUCCGAUAUUAUAAAGUUUUGAUUUCAAAAUCUGUCACAUCAAGUCAACGGUUUAAUUAUUAGUAACGUUGAUAAAAAAAAAAGUAUUAAUAACUGAAUUUUUUUAGAAGUUAUUAAUAACUGAAAAAUACUUAAUCUCAUAAUAUAACAUAUGAUUAAUCACAACUGCCCAUACGAUCAUCAAGGUAAAGGAGGGCAGACGAAAAAUAAAAAAUUAAAAAAGAAGAAUGGGUCAGUCAGUGGAACCCACUAACAUGUGAGUGAGCCAUAUGGUUGUUACACAGUUGGCCAGUUCAACAGUUCAAACUAGGAAGACCAAGAAUGGUCACAGACAACAGCACCAAUAGCGCAGAUAUAUAGAGUCAAAUGCAAUACCGUGUAUAAUUGAUCAGUCGAAUAGCACAAAGAAUUUUCUUCGAAUUUUCUCCAUAUAGAUAACGUGUGGACCAUCCUACACUCCCUCUCGGCCUCUCUAUAUAAACGCCUAAUUCUCUGCUCACUCUUCAUCUUCAUCACCAUUUCUAUUGUCUGCCUCUUCACUUCACUCAGCUUCUCUCUCGCUGAUCAGUUUUGAUUUCUUCAGUUUUCGAUCCAUAAUUAAUAAUGGGUUUGAAGGGUUUUGUUGAAGGUGGUAUUGCCUCCAUCGUCGCUGGUGCCUCCACCCAUCCUCUUGAUCUCAUCAAGGUUCGCAUGCAACUUCAAGGUGAAUCCCACCUCCCCAAUCCAGCCUCCCUUCAAGCCCUCCGUCCUGCCAUCGCCUUCAACACGGUUGCUGCUGGUGCCGGCAAUAUUUCACUACCUGUAGAAAUUGCUCCUCCACCUGCUCGUGUUGGACCCAUUUCUAUCGGUGUUCGUAUCAUUCAAUCUGAAGGUGCUGCAGCCCUUUUCUCUGGUGUAUCUGCCACUAUACUUCGCCAGACCUUGUACUCAACCACCCGUAUGGGUCUUUACGAUGUUCUUAAACACAAGUGGACAGAUCAAGACACCGGAACCAUGCCUCUUCCACGCAAGAUUCUUGCCGGCCUUAUCUCCGGCGGUAUCGGAGCCGACGUUGGGAACCCCGCUGACGUGGCUAUGGUCCGAAUGCAGGCUGAUGGACGUCUCCCAAUUGACCAACGUCGCAACUACAAGAGUGU
rnacentral:lncRNA from 1 species